GGCCCCGCCCCCGCUCCUGUCACUCAACCCUUCCCGGGCUCCGAGAGGAUCGCAGAUCUCCGACCCUACGCUCCCUGCGGCCUCAUUGGCCCGCCGGGCCUCCAGCCCCGCCCCCUCCCUAGGGACGAAGUCGCCGGGGAGACCAGCGCCCCGGUUCCUAUGACAACCGGUGCCUUAGGCCUGGCUUUUGCGUUCUGCUGGCCAGCCCCUCGUCCAGGUGGAUGGCCCGGCAGCAAAGUUCUUAGCCCCUGCAGCGUGGGCUCCUAAUUUCACGCCAAGUUAAAAAUGCAGCCGAUCGCCCCCACACUUCCAACUUCAGAAACAGAACUUUUUGGCCCUGGGGUGUGCCAAGGAGAGUGAAGAAUGCCUAACUGCUGGCUCUUCCCCCUUAUCAAUCUAAAUAACCCGUCCUCCCCGGUGCUCUCGCCUGCCUCCAGGAUUCGGGCUUUGAAAGGGUGAGAAGGGGAGAGAGAGACGGACAGAGAGACAGAGAGAGAAAGAAAGAGAGAGAAGCGGUGCCAACCCCCUGCAACAAUAUAGCACCUUGGAAAUGGCGGGGUCAACGAAAACAGCUCGGUGAGUUUUCCCACAGGUGUAAAGUGAUCCUCAACGGUGUGGCGGCAGCGCAUCAUCAACCCCAAAUGCCCUCGGGAAAACUCAAAUUCUCGUAUUUUUCAAAAAAACAGUAUGACUAUACAUUACAGCUUGGCAAAGGCACGCUCCAGCACCUAUUCCCAUCCUGCAAGCUAAGAGAUUUGGGUUUCAACGAUUUUCAAGGAAGUCUUGCUGAAUUCAUGAGCAAAUGAGUAAGGACUGUGAUGGGAACUUGGCCCAGGUGAGAAGCAGAAGCAAGAUAAGUUAUCCACUAAAACAUGAGCAGGUCCAGGCCAAAGCAGCCCGACUGUGAAGCCCUGUGAAGAGGAGUAUUCCUGGGUUAACUCAGCGGACAGUUGUUAUGCACUGCGUUUUUCUUUCUCUCCUCUACCAAGUCCCCACUCUGAGCUCCACUCAAAUGUGUUUCUAACCAAACUGUCCAAGUUGCAUGGGGCUGGGGGAUGGGAAAUUGACGGAAGAAAGAAAGGUGGAGAGGUUUAAUUAUUUACAAAAUUCUAAGCUCCUUAGCUUUCCAUUAAAAUCUUGUUGAAAAAAUUUGAUUUCAGGCCAGCCCCAGUGGCCUGGUGGUUAAGUUCAGCGUGCUCCACUGUGGCGGCCCAGAUUCAGUUCCCACGUGCAGACCUACACCACUUGUCAGCCAUGCUGUGGCCGUGAGCCACAUCCAAAAUAGAGGAAGAUUGGCAGCAGAUGUUAGCUCAGGGCGACUCUGCCUCAGAAAAGCAAAUAAUAAUUUGAUUUCAAUGUGGUUCGUUAGGCUUUUAGCAUUUGUUUUAUGAUCUUUGACUAUAUCAAGAAUGAUUUUUUUAAAUAUAAGAAAUUUAAAUCUUUGAGAAAGCAGCAUAUUAUUUAAAUUUUAAGUAAUUACUAUUUAGCAGUAUAGAAAAUGAUACAAAAUUUAGCCAAUUAAAACCACUGAUUUAUUUUUAUUUAUUUUAUUUUUCGGGUGGAAUUAACAAUUUUUUUAAUGAUUAUAAAACAUAAUGAUGCAUUUUAUGAUAGAAAAUUGGUA
ensembl:lncRNA